rnacentral:tRNA from 1 species
GUCCUCAUAGCUCAACGGAUAGAGUUGCCGCGUCCUAAGCGGUAGAUGUAGGUCCAAUUCCUACUGGGGACA